GUCUACAGCCAUAUCACCCUGAACGCGCCCAGUCUUGUCUGAUCUCAGCAGCUAAGCAGGGUUGGGCCUGGUUACCACAUGGUUGGGAGAAAUAUCUGCUGAAUGUGGGUU
rnacentral:rRNA from 1 species